ensembl:snRNA U6 U6 spliceosomal RNA
UUGCUUUGGCAGCACAUAUGCUAAAAUUGGAAUGAUAUAGAAAGAUUAGUAUGGCUCCUGCUCAAGAAUGACACUCAAAUUCGUGAAGUGUUCCAUAUUUUU